rnacentral:rRNA from 1 species
UACGUAGGGUGCAAGCGUUAAUCGGAAUUACUGGGCGUAAAGCGUGCGCAGGCGGUGAUGUAAGACAGAUGUGAAAUCCCCGGGCUCAACCUGGGAACUGCAUUUGUGACUGCAUCGCUGGAGUACGGCGAGAGGGGGAUGGAAUUCCGCGUGUAGCAGUGAAAUGCGUAGAUAUGCGGAGGAACACCGAUGGCGGAAGGCAAUCCCCUGGGCCUGUACUGACGCUCAUGCACGAAAGCGUGGGGAGCAAACAGG